AAUUCGACGGGACCCCGCACAAGCAGCGGAGCGUGUGGUUAAUUCGAGGCUACACGAAGAACCUUACCAGGGUUUGACAUGCAAGUGGUAGGAAUCCGAAAGGUGACCGACCCUUCGGGGAGCUUGCACAGGUGCUGCAUGGCUGUCGUCAGCUCGUGUCGUGAGAUGUUCGGUUAAGUCCGCUAACGAGCGCAACCCUCGUCGUGUGUUAUACGUGUCACACGAUACUGCCGGUAUCAAGCCGGAGGAAGGUGGGGAUGAUGUCAAGCCAGCAUGGCCUUUAUAUCCUGGGCUACACACACGCUACAAUGGCAGAUACAAUAGGUUGCGAAACCGCGAGGUGGAGCCAAUCCUCAAAGUCUGUCUCAGUUCAGAUUGUAGGCUGCAACUCGCCUGCAUGAAGUUGGAGUUGCUAGUAAACGCAGGUCAGCUAUACUGCGUUGAAUACGUUCCCGGGGUUU
rnacentral:rRNA from 1 species